CACUCACCUACACAAUACUGGGUGAGGUCCAAGGCCACCAACAGGAGGAGGACGACGCAGGGUCCAGUGUUCCUCAUCUUCUGAAAUGCGUGGAGUCUCAGUCAGGACUGGUAUCUCCUUAUAACCCUGAAGUGGCUGAUGCUGAUUGGCUUCUCUUAGAAUUCCCAAAGGUAGUGACAUAGACCUGAUGGGAUGGGAGUUGGAGAGUGUAAUUCUUGUGUGUGGGGGAUUUCUAGAGCCCUGCUUCCCCAUCUUGCAUUCAGUUCUGCAGCCUGGUAUGCUGGUAUCAGUGUCUAAGCACAAGUCUAUCUUUCUCAUCCAAGUCCUUUAUUAUCUGGAAUGAGAUGUGCUACCUGUGAAGGAGGGGAGUCUAGACUGGCUGGUGUACGGUUCUGUGAAGUUUGCAAGAACUCUGUUCAAGUCAUUUCCAGUGAUGGGACUCUGAGUUCAGUCAUGGCUGAUCACACUCCAGUCCUGUUCCGAGGCUCUGGGCCCUGGGCUGUGAAUGCUGCUCUGAUGUCAGGUUCCAGCACUCUGCAGCCUAUGAUUUGCCUGGAGGUGAGCUUUUCCUUUUGGGAGUCUUGGAACAAGCUUCAACGAUUCCCUGGUGAUCACCUGCUUUGUUUUCUGAUCUCUUAUUAAUGGCCUUCCCACUGCUGCUGGGAAAUGUUAGUCAGUGGAUUAUCCAAAGCAGUGAUUCCCAACCUUGCUAAUGUGGGGACCCAUUUAUAUAGUAGUUUAUAUUGUGGUGACCCCCCAAAAUCAUAUUUUUUUGUUGCUACUUCAGAAGUGUAAUUUUGUAUUUUCAUCACAAUGUAAGUAGUUUUAUAUACAGAGGUUUGCCAGUGGGUUGCCACCCAUGGCGUGUGAACCCGUCAUCUAAUGCUUUAUACUUAGGCCACUGUUGUGAACCUAAUAAUCAAGUUAAGUGUGUAAGUCUAUGGGGUCCUAAUUUCUCUUCGGUUCUUCUAAAAUAUCUGGAUUCCAGGAACAUGAGAUAUACAGUGUCUGUUCACAGCAAUAGAAACCCUAAGAGAAUGUAAAAUAUUAUUUGAUACUAAAUAUUUUCUCUAACAGAAUUGAAUUUUUUUUUAUUGGAACAGGACAUGAUAAUGCAUGUUGUCACCGUGGUCAUUGGGGAGCAGAGGAGUUCAAGGCCUUCCUGAGCUAGAGGGGAUUCAUUUCUCAAAGAGCAAACUCAAUGAUAAGAAUUCCCAUAGUAAUUAAAUACUUCCUGUCUACAAAUCUCAUCUGAAACGUUACUGCAAUCUUUUUUUUUUUAAAAAAGAGAAAUUGUAUAUUUCAUUUUAUUUUGUUUCAUAACAUUUCUUUAUUUAUUAUUAAUCAUUCCAAUCUUUUACAUACUAAAUGAUAUCCACUUCCCGGUAGUUUGCUGCAAUCUUUUCUUGAAACAGAUGAGUAGACAUAGUUUGAUUUUCUCAGGUGAGCACAUUGUCAUUGUACACCCAAGCAGACCCAGCCCUUGGGAGGAGCAGGAAGGAGGAUCAGGGCUUCUAGACCAUGCAGAUCCAUGGUGUAGGGGAAGACACAGGCUCACAAGGCACAGGAGAAUGAACUGGGGACAGUUAGACCACAGUUAUCAGAGGAGGUGAGCGAUGGCCAGAAAUCUCUAGCUCAUUAGCAAAGAAAUAUAGGAAAUGAUAUAGAACAGACCCGGGAAGAGUCUUCCUAAUUAAGCCUAAUUCGCAUGUUAGGAUCCUACAGAUGAACGUGGUGUGUAGGUAGCUGCAGUUAAUGACCUUUUCCUUCUCUAUAGGCAAAGGCUGUCUCCAUGGCUUCCCAUGGUGUAUCUCAAAGAACAGAGGCAGUCCAUGCUUUAAAGAGUUUAUUGUCAUGGUGGAAAAUGAAUGCAUAAAACCACACCCCACUUUUCAGGCUGGGCCUGAGAUUAAAUACCUUUUACAGGGAUGAAUGUCUGGGAAGGAAAGCUUAUUGGCUAUGCCCUCCAGGGCUCUAUGUACCUCAUUGGCAUGGAGAUCUGUCUUGAGCCUAAGUGACCACAGAUCAUGUCCUUUUCCUCAUCUACCUGUGGAGGGCUUGGGGCUUUGCCCUUAUGUGACUGAUGGCCACCAAUCUAUGAGGGACUGUGGCUAGUGUCAGGGGCCUGGUGCUGGGAGCAGGUGAAGCUCUUACCGUCCCUUCAGGGUCUCUGGGGUUCUAGCCUUAGCUCAACCAGGAACCACGCUAACUUUCAUGGUCCAGCAUUUUAAUUUUUUUCUUUCUCAAUAUUUAGGAAAUUUUUUUUUUGAAGGAGAGUUGGAUCAAGGUUUUAAAGAUGGUUCUGGAGAGAUGGCUAAAUAUUUAAGAGCUCCAUUGGGAUUAUUGUUCUAGAGGACCUGAGUUUGGUUCCCAGCACAUAUAUAAGGGAGUUCACAACUGUCCAUAAUGGUAGCUCCAGGGGCUUCAUUACCCCUCUUCUGGCAUCAAUAGGCACUGCACUCAUGUAAACAAACAUUGGAUGUGUGAUUCUCUCUCUCCCUCCCUACCUCUUUUUUCUACAGACAGAAGGUGAGAGGAACACACACAUAUAGACACACACAGACACACACACAGACACACACACACACACACACACACACACACACACACACACAUAUACACACUCUAAAAUGAAUGGGCCUGAAGAGGUGACUCAGUUGUUAAGAGCACUUGUUAAUUGCAUUGAAGAUCUGAGUUUGAUUCCUAGUACUCACCUGGUGUCUCACAGGUGAUCGAGUCAGCCUGCCUGGAGUCUGACAUUCAAUGUCAUGUGCAUGGACAGUGAACAGGCCUGAGAGAGGCCAUGAUGCACAAUGCAGAUGGAAGGGAACUGCUGCUUAAGGGACACACUGAACUGUCCUGGGAGAAGGGUAAAUCCUCUGGAGAGUCCCUCUCUUGUGUUGAGUCAGGAAAGUGAGGAGCUGUCUUUCCCCUUUGAUGCAAGACAGUGUAAGCAUUCCAGCUGCUCCCUGCUAAGAAGGCUGCCUCAGGGAGACAAGAGCUCUAAUCUCAGGAAGCAGAAGGUGGUGGCAAGGUUGUCUCUUACCAGAGCGCAGCAAAGUCUCCUUCCCAAUGUCCAGGCAUCUAUGGAGUCUUUCUAAGCAGUCCCCUUGCAGUGUGCCACAUGCAUGUAGUACCAGUGGAGACCAGAAGGUGGCAACAGACAUUCUGGAACUGGAGUUACAGACUGUUGUGUUAAACUAAGAUGUAGAUGCAGAGGACAUCAAAUGAUCCAGUAACACUGCAUGCAAGUCCACAGGGAAAACAACCUUGAAGAAGGGCCGCAUGUGCAAAUUUAGUAAAGAAUCGAAGGUCAGAGAUGAGGGUGCUAUGAUCAGGCUUGUGGUAAGCAUGGUAGCAGUGGUUCCCGAGACCCUGAAGGAGGAAGCCCCAGGAGCUCAUGCAUCAACUCAUCCAGCACAUACAGUGGUUCCCCUGAGACCCUGAAGGAUGAAGCCCCAGGAGCUCAUGCAUCAACUCAUCCAGCACAUACAGUGGUCUCCCUGAGACCCUGAAGGAUGAAGCCCCAGGAUCUCAUGCAUCAACUCAUCUAGCACAUACAGUGGUCCCCCUGAGACCCUGAAGGAUGAAGCCCCAGGAGCUCAUGCAUCAACUCAUCCAGCACAUACAGUGGUUCCCCUGAGACCCUGAAGGAUGAAUCCCCAGGAGCUCAUGCAUCAGCUCAUCCAGUACAUACCUCCUCCAUCUCCUUUAGGCUUUGAGGAGCUCCUGUAUGGGUUUUCCACAGGUAGGCAAAGCAGCUACAAUGCAGAUGCACUGGCUUGUCACAGCUAUACUACUUCCUAGGUUUUAUAGAUACCAUUCACAAGCGAGUAAAUGUAUCUCUUACCCACACUAACAGUGUUCAGACAGUAGGUUUUAAAGCUCCUCCUGGAACUGGUUCCUAGACUUGGCCUUUCCUUCUUACUGUGGUUGGACAGUAUCCCUGCUUUCAUGGCCCAAACUUCUCAAUUAGUGGCUCAAGUUUAGACAUCGAUCAACAUCUUCCAAUGUGCAUAUAGACCUCAGAGUUCUGAUUAGGUAAAAAGAAUAAAAGGAUGAUAAUAAAAAUGUUAGAGUCCAAUGAAGGGUGGGUAGACCGCCUUCCUUUGCUUUGCUUUUGCACAUGCUACACCACAUAUAGGAAGGUAUUUGUUUGCAAUGAAAUUAUGUUCAGAAGACCUCCCCUGCUGCUUCCCAAGCUCAGAGACCAGCAGUGGGCAGAACUCUAUAACCAUUCUUUUCUCAGCUCAUUACAGGCCCUCCUGCCAUCCACACAGACUAUUCAUUAGACUAUCAGAGAGAUCUAGCCAGUCUCCAAGUCUACCACCAGUUUUCCUUGGUUCAGUCAAGUGAUUCCGUCUGGCUCAAGCAGGUAACUACAGGAAUGCUAGAAUCAACUUGUAAAUGACUCUUCAUGGUCAUUCUCUCCACUUCUAUGAGUGUUAAAGCAGCAGGCAUGAUCUGCUUCAUUACCUCCACAUCCAGGUCAAGAAAGUGGAAACCACAAAUGGACUGUCUCCUGGCCUAAAGACCCAUCAAAAUCGGGGCUUCAUGGGGCUGUGGAUGUUUCUACUUCCUGCCCCUCUACCUUCUCCUGAGUCUUAUGUUUGGUAUAAAUACAGGAUUAUGGUCCAGUUCCCACAACCCUCAGGCUUGGGCCUGGGAAGAAAGAUACAGGGGAUGUGAUGAUGGCCACAGACCAGCAACCCAUAUUCUGUCAUAAUUUUUGCUUAUUGAUAUACCAGGAAAAUUAAGAUAUGGGGACUUUUGUUCCAAGUUAGAAACAGUUUAAAAUUCUAUACAUACCCUGCAGGUAGGUGCCCUAAGUACCAGGAACAAGGAAGAUUCCAACCAUCAGGCUUGUAAACAUGAGACUCCAAAAAAAAUUCCUUAAAAGAUUGUUUUGGAAUUUGGGAAACCCCGAGGAAUCAUACUAUAUGGCACAGGAAGAGACUCCAGGAAUACACUUUAUCAUUCCCAGCAAGAAAUUGGCCAGGAUUGCUGGUAAUGCUUAAACAUGCUUCCUCUAUAUUUUAUAGGGAUAAGAACUACCCAGACUAUAAGCCUAUUUAUUGACAAAACUCAGUGGCUGAGGGAAGCCCAAAUAAAUAUGAGAGGACUUGACCUAGGCACUCCCCCUUAUUCUGACACCUGCUUUUCUGCCCUGUUAGUAGAUUCAUCUGGAUGACAGUAUUACCAAGCCCUGAUAUGAUUUAAUGGUCAUGUACUAAUGGCUUGACUAGAAUGUCUCUUUUAAUGCUUUUCAAACUCAGUAGACAGGUUCAUCAAGACCUUGCAAAAGUGGUUCUACAUAAUGGGAGUGCUUGGACAUGAGUAUCUUUACCUCCAGGUGAAGUUGCUUAUUGUGUCAAGGUGGCCACAGGCCAGAAAUUGCCUAUUUCAUCUGCAGUCAAAAUACUGUCCAGGAAAAGGACGCUUUAUGUAGAAUAGUCGACAGCUAGCUCUGCCAAGACAGGGUAAACAUCCCUUCUUCAUCCUGCUUUCCAAAGGUCUGUCAGAUGAACCUGGGCCAGAUGGCUGAAGACUGAUGCUCCAACAUUUUGAAGAAUUAGGGGGCUGUCCAGGUAGUCAGCUGUCUCUGCGAUUGUUUAAGUCUGAGAAACUAUGCUUAGUGCUUCCUAUAUCCAGGUAAUGUUUAAGUCAUUCUCAGAUUUGUGUUGGGGUUGAGGACUAGCUUUAGUCCCAUAAUCAAACUCGUGUUGUUUAACAUUGAGUGAGAGGUUAUAGAGUGGAAGACAUGGUUUUCAGAUGGUUUUACUGGCUAAAAUGCAAAAAUAAUCUAGGGAUAGAGUCAUAAUUCUUAAUAAUAAUCUUAAUUAGUUAGGAAUGAUGGUAAAGUGCUGUUAUGUAAUUGACCAAUAUGAUGGACUGGGUGUCAUUUGUAUAUCAUACUGUGUAAUUUACAUGAUUGUUAUGGUUUUGUUCCAUGUAUAUCUGGAGAAGAGCUUUUUCAGGUUUUUUCUUUUUCUUUUUUUUUUUAAUUGGAGAGAAAGGUGAUGUGUAGGGGUGGUUCUGAUGCUAAGGUCCUGUUCCCCACUGGUUUUUGAUCUGUCAGUAAAGAAGCCAUGGAUCAGUUGCCGGGCAGAAGGAAUAGUUGGGAUUUCUGAGUCCCUGGAAGCAAGAGACAGAUGCAAGGGAGGAGAGGAGUGCUCAUCAUUUUUCAGAGAGUGAAAAGCUAAGCAGCCAUGUGAGAUCUCGAGCCGAGCCUUGGCCUAUGUCUGUUCCUAUAGGCGGGCGGUUAGGGGUGUUUAGCUGGGACUCAAUGUCACUGAACAACUAAAGUUGAUGGCAAGUGGAGAGUUAUGGAGCUAAGAAUAUUGGUAAGGGCAUGCUUUUCCAGGUGAGAAAUAGUAGCACCCAGAAAUUAUGUCAAAAUGCAAGUUGAAAUUGAACAAUUGUGUGUGUCUGUAUCAUUUAUCCAUGGAUUCAAGGGAAGCUGGGUGGGGACUGGAAGCAUCCCACAUUCCUGAAGCUUAGUCAGGGUAGCAAAAACUACAUGCAACAAAAUAUCACAUAUUUAAUAUAUUUAAUAUUUUAUGUAAGUAUUAUAAUAUGUAAUCUGUGAAUAUAUUACAUAUAUUCUUCCCGUUUAUUUCAGUGAAGUCCUAUUUCUACACUACAAAUGAUAAUAACAUGUUAAAAAAACAGGAUCAAAGUCCAAGAGAUCUCUAACGGGGAAGAUGAGGAUGUAACAAGCAGAAAUGUUCACAUCUCAUUGUAUUUUGGAACAGUUGUUGCUUUUUGUAAACAUUCUGCUUUCAUGCACAUGUCAUGUACUUUAUUACUUGUGUGUUCAAUGCACCAUAUGUUGAAAUCUCACACUUCCUCACACAGUGAACAUGGACUGAUAAGAUGUCCAUUAUCAUAAGUUCCCUUGAUUUAGAUUAAUUUCUAAAACUGUGCAUAUUCUGACAUCACAAUGUUUGAGAAUUGCUGAUUGAUUGGUCUCUGCGAUGAGCUCAGAGGAUACUGUGUCCAGGACGAGGGGAACAACAAUCAGGGCAAGCCACUUGUUCCUAGACACUGCUCUUAGGUUCCCAGUCCCCAGCACUGCAUCUGAGCUGGGGGAGGCAGGGCCCUACAACUUCCUCUUCUAGGAGUUCACCUUUCCAUGACUCAGCCCAAUGGUUCUGUAUCUCUACCAUUGAGACUUCUUAAAAACCAAUCAGCCUCCUUCAAACUAAGAUUUAUAAUACACUGAACAGCAGAGACUCAGUCUCCACUCUUCAAGCAAGAUGAAGACCUUUGUCCCUGAGGCUCUCCUCCUGAUGCUCCUGGAUUGAUGACCUUGACCCAGCAUCCAGAGGGAAGUGGUGUGUCAGGAGGGAGAGGACCUCACCUGGAAGAGCAAAAGGAAUGUAUCUCUCCUGGGGCAGCAUCAGGGAAACCCAGUCCCCAGUUUAGCCCAGCCAUCACCUUAUGCUCCUUCUUCAUUCUGCAUUCUGAGUCUUUCCCCUGCUCCACUCCAAAUCUAACCACAACCCAUACUUGCUUGAGAUCCUGGGAGAAGGGUUUGAUUUUUACCUUGGGCUGCCUAGUAGGUUCACACUCUCUGCUGUAUUUUCAAACCCUCCUGACCUGGAUUGACCUCUGCUACUCCAGUUCAUUUUGGUUGGCUAUGUGGAUGGCACACAGUACUGGAGAUAGAACAGUAGAAGAGAGUCCAGAUUGGACCCAUACCUGCCAUUGUUAGAGCAGCAGGAGACAGAGUGCUGGGAGAGGCAGACAGAGAGUCCUGCAUCUCAAAAAGCACUUCACAGAAGAACUGAGCAAAGUGCUCCACCUCUGCGGCCAUAAAUGCAACUGGUGAACUGAUGGACUGUGGAAAGGAGAUUUUCCUGAGAACAAGUAAGGAUGAAAAUACCUCCAUCUGCUCUGAGACUGUAAGGUACUCUGCUAAGGUCUUCAGAAUUGUGUGGAACCUCCUUCCUAACAUGAGCACUCUCACUGUAUUGAAUCCAGUUUAGGAUGCAGCAUGACCAACCCACACCUGCCCUGCAGUACCCAAGUAAAAUGCUGGCAAGGUGUUAGCUAGUAGUGUAUUCCCUGCACCUGGGAGGUGGAACAGGGCUCUCAGGUGCUGGCUAGGUAGUCUAGAUGACUUGAUAAGCUCAGUGAGACACAGUUCCUUCAAAGAAUUUAAACACUAUGCAGAAGGAUGAGGCCUGCAGUGAACUUCUGGCAGCUUCCUCCACCACAACACACACACACACACACACACACACACACACACACACACACACAAAACAUACAUAUACAGAAGUAAAAAAUCAAAUUAACCAUGAAACCAGUGCUUUCUCUCAAGAACAAGUUUGGGGUAGUCAUGAAGUUGCCAUGCAUGCCCAGCAGUGGUUUGUACAAGUGUUUGCACUGUUGCUGUGACAAAACACCGUGACCAAAACCAACUUGAGGAAGAGGCUAUUUCAUCUGGCAAGUCUCAGGUCACAUUUCAACAUGGUGGUAGUUAGGCCAUGAAUUCAAGGGAGGACCAUGGAUACAGGAGCACUCUAUGGAGGACUGCUGCUCAGUCUUCUUUAUACAUAAUCCUGGAACACCUGCUCAGCAGUGACUUGGGCCCUUCGAUAUUUAUCAUUAAGUGCCUUUCAGACUUGCCUAGAGACAAUCUGAGGGAGGAAUUUUCUCAACUGAGGUUCCUUUUCCUGUAGAAGCAUAGCUUGUGUCAAACUGACAAAACUAAAACAUCCAGGACACUUGGUUGGAAUGAGAAAUGUCCCCUAUAGACUCAAGUGUUUGCUCACUUGGUCUCUCCAGCUGAUGGAGCAUUAGAACAAGUUAUGAAACUUCCUGACCUGGGGCCUAGCUGGGAGAAUCCUUUACAUCCUGCAAAUCUUGCCUCACAGCUCACAGCUCACCCUCCCAUUGAGGCCAUACUAAACAUUCUAAGAAACAGUCACCUGACCUG